UUAACAAGACUGCUAGAAAAUAAUAGCACUAAGGAGUUGCUAAUUUCCAUUAGUAUAAGAUGAUGAUUUAACACCAUACAUUGACUGAUACCGUAUCCGAUUCGAGUAAAACCUAACAGCCUGGCAUUUUAAAAUAAAAGCCAACUGUAAAGCAGUUACAACGCAAUAAACUUGAUUUUAACUUAGCGAAGCGAUUGCAGAUGCGUGAUGCCUUGCUGUCCCUAUCUGUGUGUUAAACAGGGCCGCACAAGAAACUCUGAGGGUGGUGGGGGUUAGAUUUAAAAUGCACGCUGCGUUUCUUCUACAGUCCAGUAUAUGAAAAAUACUCCAGCCUUGCAAAAAGCCUCUAAUAUACCCCAAGCUGCCGUGAAAUCCACCCCCCUCGGUAAUAGCAGGUUGUAAUGGAGACGAGAUGUGAAAUGUCUAAGUCAGCACACUAUCGUUGGUUAAUGAUCUAUUAAGUGAUCUGUGCGCUUCAAGACAGCAAGAAAAAAAGUGUUGAUGUUUGCUUAUUUAGACUAAUGAGAUCCCCAUCCUACGAAUUUUAAGAAUGAAUAACAGAAAAUUCACCUUAAAAAGUAUCCCCUUGUUCAACCCCUAUCAUAAAAGUCAAUGUUAGAGGCUGGAUGCAUUGCAGAUUAUUGCGAUGCUCCUACUUUGUCAUCUUUGUUCGGUGUUACGUUUAGCUCAGGAAAAUAUUUCAUCUCCUAUUAAAUAAAAAUGACAGCAGAGACAGUAAAUGCGCCAGAGUCUGCAAUUCGGUACACCUCAGAGGACUGAGACCACAUCGAAGAGGCAUUGGCAGAAUGUUGGCGAGGAGAAGAGAUGAAUACUCUGCGUUUCUCCAGACUGUCUACGCCUGAAGCACUCGUGCGUACAAUAGAAUCACAAAAGCACCGAGAAACCAUUCAGUGAGGGUGCUUAGCCCAGCCCCUUCUGGUUCAUCCUCAGUAAGAAUAUCAGCUGCCCAGAGAGAAAUGUCUUUUAUGACCAGAGCAACCCACCAGACAAGAGCUCCUGUGAAAGACCCUUAAUUCUGCGGUGGAGAAAUGAAUCUGUUUGUUUAUGUUUUGCCUAAGGGCUGGCAACAUAACGGCAAGAGGCACUUCUUUUGUUGGACUUUUUUUGUUAAUUAAACGAGAUGACCUGGUUGGGAUCCCAACUUUUAUCUUUGCGUGCUAUUCCUACACCUGACCAUAACCUAAAUACUUGAAAAGAAAUGAUAAUAUUCAGAAACCUGUAAGGAAAAAAGAUUAUCGUGAAGCAUUCUGAAACCCGAUGUAUUCAAUUCUGCAAGGCAUUAGACUAUGAGCCCAUCCUGACCACAUUAUGUAUAAAGGAAAUAAUCAGCCCUGGAUAGGGAGCCAGUCCACUGUAAGGCCCACUCACAUACACACCCACAUUUACAACCACAAAAGAUGAAUUUACAAGUGGCAAUUAACCUAACAUGUAUUUUUCCAUGCAGUCAAUCUCCAGGUAUAGAAUUGUAACUUAGGACACUGGAUCCGUGCCACAUAUUAUGCAUUAAAUUUAUGAACUGUAG